AUUGAACGCUGGCGGCAGGCCUAACACAUGCAAGUCGAACGAGUGGCGGACGGGUGAGUAAUGUCUGGGAAACUGCCUGAUGGAGGGGGAUAACUACUGGAAACGGUAGCUAAUACCGCAUACCAUCGGAUGUGCCCAGAUGGGAUUAGCUAGUAGGUGGGGUAAAGGCUCACCUAGGCGACGAUCCCUAGCCGGUCUGAGAGGAUGACCAGCCACACUGGACCUGAGACCCGGUCCAGACUCUGACGGGAGGCAGCAGUGGGGAAUAUUGCACAAUGGGCGCAAGCCUGAUGCAGCUCUGCCGCGUGUAUGAAGAAGGCCUUCGGGUUGUAAAGUACUUUCAGCGAGGAGGCGUUACUCGCAGAAGAAGCACCGGCUAACUCCGUGCCAGCAGCCGCGGUAAUUC
rnacentral:rRNA from 1 species